UGGCCGAUUUUGGCACUAGCACAUUUUUGCUUGUGUCUCUCCGCUCUGAGCAAUCAUGUGCAGUGCCAAGAUGGGAAA
rnacentral:pre_miRNA from 10 species